AGGAAGGUUUUUUUUACUUAGUUUCAUCACAAAUUCUUGACACAGGCAGUACUAUCAGUCGAUAAAUGCUGAGGCCCCGGGUUCAGCCUGGGAAAGAGUUCACUCACCUUUCACUGAGAGUGUGACUGUGGAGAGUUCAGGGACCUUGAGAAUAUAUUUCAUGAACGCAUGAGCAUGGAAGCAGCUUUUGUACCCAGAGGAAUUUCUCACACCCACCCAGAUACACUGAAGAGUCAGAUUCAGCAUGAACUGAACAUCAGCUUCCAUUUCUCUAAGUGGAAACAACAGAUUUUCAGUUAGAUCUUUUAAAAACAGCACAUCCAGUUUUCAGAAGCGUACCUGCAGUCAGCAUGACUACAUUGUGGGCAGUUCUAUGCUUUUUUGUGUAUGUGAACACGGAGUUAGGUGGUCACUCCAAUCUGGCUCUGGCCAGCUCACAUCCCCAGGAUAGUUUGGGGAUUCAGCCCAGUUCUGAAGAAGAUGGAAUGUCUCCAGAAGCUCUUCAAGAAUUGCUGUGGUUUUUUCGAAGAGAAGACUCGGCUACAUGGAAUUACUGUAUUCUAGGCCUUUCUUUGCUCGCUCUGGUNAUUGGGAUCUCUCUCUUGGCAAAAAACAUCACAACAACCAGGAACCGAAAGCUUGAAGUCUUGCGGAAUGGAAGGUAUGAAGCUNACCAGCCUGAUGAAGCAGAAAUGAAGGCAGCCUACAGGCUUUUGCAGGAAGAUGGCAAGCCAGUGCCCAGCCCCGAGGAUUCACUGCCAAUAAUACAGAAUGCUGGACAGGUGAUGGUGCAGUGGAAGGANGGAAACGUUACCACGCUGUUUUCAGAUGCUGCAAAUGAAGAGGAUGUGUAG
rnacentral:lncRNA from 1 species